UACGUAGGGUGCAAGCGUUAAUCGGAAUUACUGGGCGUAAAGCGUGCGCAGGCGGUUUUGUAAGUCUGACGUGAAAUCCCCGGGCUCAACCUGGGAAUUGCGUUGGAGACUGCAAGGCUAGAAUCUGGCAGAGGGGGGUAGAAUUCCACGUGUAGCAGUGAAAUGCGUAGAUAUGUGGAGGAACACCGAUGGCGAAGGCAGCCCCCUGGGUCAAGAUUGACGCUCAUGCACGAAAGGCGUGGGGAGCAAA
rnacentral:rRNA from 1 species